GUAAGUUCACACACUGAAAGCAGCAACUUGUGGCAGUCUGGAGGAUCCUGCACUGACUGGUUCCUUGGUCAGGCCUUAGGGAAGGGAGAGCAGAGAGGGGGAGGAUCGCCAGCUCCCACCUUUCCAAGUAGCAUGGGAUCCCUGAGGUCAUGUCUUCACAUGGGACCGGGUUACAAGUUCAUCUCUAGCAAGGGAGACCUGUUAAUAAGAACUGAAAAAAAAAAUAGUACUACAGACUAGCCUAAGAGAAUGCUUUUAGUUUCAUUUAACAAAAAAGAACAACCUCUGCUCCUUCAGCAAAAUGUAACGUGACAUGCAGGUUUUCCAGCCUCAGGUACUUGCUUAAUCAGCUCUCCCCUCCCUGAAAGGAAACAGCCCGGGCUUACUCACAUGCAGCUGCCCUUUCUAUUGCAAGCACUGCUGCCUGCCCUGGAAAAAACCACCCAGCUCCUCGGGCUUCUUUCUGUACCCAAGCAACUUAACCCUCGCUUCUCCUGCUCAGUGCUCUUUGCAGUUUUUCCAGGCACCUCCUCAAAUGAACAGGCACCAAGAAACCAACCCCAGGUCUGGAUUAGUGGAAUUAUCUCAGCCCGCCCGAUGCCUCGACAUCAGUAAAAUGCCUCCGCUGCACCGACUGUAGCAGCAAAAGAGAAGGAGCUGUGCCUCUCCUUCCCCCUCCAGCCCUGACUCUGGGGCUAACCCAGUAAAUACUAAAGGCCAAAUUAAUCCCCGGUGGGGCUCUAUUGACUGACUUGGAAUUAUAUUACACCAAAAAGUAAAUUGGCUGUCAGUAUUUAGGUGCGCAACAUACCAGCUGUGGUUACAUAAGCAGUUUCCGCUGAGAUUUCUGUUCAAACAUCAGCUUUUGCUCAUUUUGAGCUGGGUGAAAUAUUUCCCCUUUUCCCUUGAAAGCAGUCAGGAGGGAUUUGGGCUGAAUAAGAGGAACCUGACUGCACGAAGGUGCCCUAGAUGAUCUCAUUACCUGCAAAAAUGGCAAAUACAAAGCAUUGUGCUUGAGACUGAGGGAAGCAUCUGCAGGUUUUUAGCUUUACUGCUAUGAGGGUUUAAUAUACAUAUAUAAAAAAAUAUUUAGUUUUUAAAAAGUUGUUGCAGUUGGAUCAGAUGCUGUCUUCUACCAAUAAACUAUUCCAGGGAAACUCAGCACAUGUGCAGUGCAAAAGAAAGGGGGGGUUGUUAUGUUAUAUUUCUUAUUUUGCCUUUCAUCUCAAGACAUCACUGCACUUUAGUGAGGAACAUAUAAGCGCUGUGAGCCAAAUGUAUUGAUGGGGGUUAAAAAAAAAAAAAAAGCAGAGGGACAAUGAAAUUUGCUUUUGAGAUGAGCAUAGUAAGGACCAGGAAAUGAGGUUGGGUUGAAUUAAAGCAGAAAAACACAGGAGUAAGAGUUAAAAACAUACCUCAGCAUUAUCAUGGGCUGAAGUGAGGGGUAGGUAUGUGCUUAAGAAUAUUGCAAAAUAUGGAUUAAAAGCAAGGGCUCGGCUUUAUGAGCUGGAUCAUGGCAACACUAGUGAAAAAUUCAUAUGCACGGGAAGAAUAAAAUGUUAUGCCUCGCGUUCCCUGGGUAGCCAUUAUUUUAUGAAGUGUGAUUCACAAAAACAGCGAGACUGGAGAAAUGUGAACACAAAACACAUGUCCCAAAAAGACAUGAUGGGAACGCAAACAGUAAUUAUAGGACCAUCUGCAAACGGCGAGGCUUGAGGAUGGGGUAAGUCAGCAGGAACAAAUACAUCGCUAUGUUUACAGCUCAAAACACUGACUUUUUUCCUCACACACAACUAAUACAGGAAACCUAAUAGAAAUCCCGACGGCACAAGCUGAGGACAGCUUGCAUUUCCAUAGGAAACAGCUGCAUCACCACUAGAAAUUCAGCCCUCUUCUCUUUGUGUCCCC
ensembl:lncRNA